UACGUAGGAGACGAGCGUUGUCCGGAAUUACUGGGCGUAAAGCGCGUGUAGGCGGAUGGGCAAGUCUGCUGUGAAAGCUCCUGGCUUAACCGGGAGUGGUCGGUGGAAACUGCCAAUCUGGAGGACGGUAGAGGUAGGUAGAAUUCCCGGUGUAGUGGUGAAAUGCGUAGAUAUCAGGAGGAACACCGGUGGCGAAGGCGGGUCUCUGGGCCGAUACUGACGCUGAGGAGCGAAAGCGUGGGGAGCGAACAGG
rnacentral:rRNA from 1 species